AUUGAACGCUGGCGGCAGGCCUAACACAUGCAAGUCGAGCGGAUGAAGGGAGCUUGCUCCUGGAUUCAGCGGCGGACGGGUGAGUAAUGCCUAGGAAUCUGCCUGGUAGUGGGGGAUAACGUCCGGAAACGGGCGCUAAUACCGCAUACGUCCUGAGGGAGAAAGUGGGGGAUCUUCGGACCUCACGCUAUCAGAUGAGCCUAGGUCGGAUUAGCUAGUUGGUGGGGUAAAGGCCUACCAAGGCGACGAUCCGUAACUGGUCUGAGAGGAUGAUCAGUCACACUGGAACUGAGACACGGUCCAGGCUCCUACGGGAGGCAGCAGUGGGGAAUAUUGGACAAUGGGCGAAAGCCUGAUCCAGCCAUGCCGCGUGUGUGAAGAAGGUCUUCGGAUUGUAAAGCACUUUAAGUUGGGAGGAAGGGCAGUAAGUUAAUACCUUGCUGUUUUGACGUUACCAACAGAAUAAGCACCGGCUAACUUCGU
rnacentral:rRNA from 1 species